rnacentral:rRNA from 1 species
GGGGGACAGGUGGUGCGAUGGUUGUCGUCAGCUCGUGUCGUGAGAUGUUGGGUUAAGUCCCGCAACGAGCGCAACCCUACGUUAGUUGCUAACGCGUGAAGGCGAGCACUCUAGACGAACUGCCGUUGACAAAACGGAGGAAGGUGGGGAUGACGUCAAAUCAUCAUGCCCCUUAUGUUCUGGGCUACACACGUGCUACAAUGGCCGGUACAGACGGACGCAAAGCCGCGAGGUGGAGCAAAUCCUAAAAAGCCGGUCUCAGUUCGGAUUGCAGGCUGCAAUUCGCCUGCAUGAAGUCGGAAUCGCUAGUAAUCGCAGGUCAGCAUACUGCGGUGAAUACGUUCCCGGGCCUU